GUGAACGUUGGCGGCGUGGAUUAGGCAUGCAAGUCGUGCGGAAAGGCCCCGCAAGGGGUACUCGAGCGGCGAAAGGGAUAGUAACACGUAGGUACCUACCUCCGGGACGGGGAUAGCCGCGGGAAACUGCGAUUAAUACCCGAUAACGUCAGUGGCGCAAGCCAUUGCCCAAAGGUGUGAUUCCGCCCAGAGAUGGGCCUGCGUCCUAUUAGCUAGUUGGCGGGGUAACGGCCCACCAAGGCAAAGAUGGGUAGCGGGUGUGAGAGCACGACCCGCAUCACUGGGACUGAGACACUGCCCAGACACCUACGGGUGGCUGCAGUCGAGAAUCUUCGGCAAUGGGCGCAAGCCUGACCGAGCGACGCCGCGUGCGGGAUGAAGGCCUUCGGGUUGUAAACCGCUGUCGUAGGGGAGGAAA
rnacentral:rRNA from 1 species